UAGAGUUUGAUCCUGGCUCAGGGUGACGCGGGCGGCGUGCCUAACACAUGCAAGUCGUGCGGGUAUUCCUCCUUCACGGGAGGAUGCCAGCGGCGGACGGGUGAGUAACACGUGGGUAACCUACCCUCCGGAGGGGGAUAACAGGGGAAACCCUGGCUAAUACCCCAUGCGCUCCAUCGGCGCGAGCCGGUGGAGGAAAGGGCGUUUGCUCCGCCGGGGGAUGGGCCCGCGGCCCAUCAGGUAGUUGGUGGGGUAACGGCCACCAAGCCUACGACGGGUAGCCGGCCUGAGAGGGUGGUCGGCCACAGGGGCACUGAGAACGGGCCCCACUCCUACGGGAGGCAGCAGUGGGGGAUCUUGGACAAUGGGGGAAACCCUAUCCAGCGACGCCGCGUGCGGGAUGAAGCCCUUCGGGGUGUAAACCGCUGUGGCGGGGGAAAAUAAGGCGGGGAGGAAAUGCCCUGCCGAUGACGGUACCCCGCUAGAAAGCCCCGGCAACUACGUGCCAGCAGCCGCGGUAAUACGUAGGGGGCAAGCGUUACCCGGAUUUACUGGCGUAAAGGGGGUGUAGGUGGCUUGGUGUGUCGGGUGUGAAAUCCCACGGCUCAACCGUGGGCUGCGCCCGAAACUGCCAAGCUUGGGGGCGGUAGAGGGAGACGGAACUGCCGGUGUAGGGUGAAAUCCGUAGAUAUCGGCAGGAACGCCGGUGGGGAAGCCGGUCUCCUGGGCCGACCCGACGCUGAGGCCCGAAAGCCAGGGGAGCAAACCGGAUUAGAUACCCGGGUAGUCCUGCUGUAAACGAUGCCCACUAGGUGUGGGGGGUUAAUCCCUCCGUGCUGAAGCCAACGCUUAAGUGGGCCGCCUGGGGAGUACGCCCGCAAGGGUGAAACUCAAAUGAAUUGACGGGG
rnacentral:rRNA from 1 species